rnacentral:rRNA from 1 species
AUUGAACGCUGGCGGCAUGUCCUUACACAUGCAAGUCGAGCGGCAGCGCGGGGCAACCCUGCGGCGAGCGGCGAACGGGUGAGUAAUACAUCGGAACGUGUCCAGUAGCGGGGGAUAACCUGUCGAAAGAUAGGCUAAUACCGCAUACGAUCUACGGAUGAAAGCGGGGACCGCAAGGCCUCGCACUGUUGGAGCGGCCGAUGUCGGAUUAGCUAGUUGGCGGGGUAAAAGCCCACCAAGGCGACGAUCCGUAGCUGGUCUGAGAGGAUGAUCAGCCACACUGGAACUGAGACACGGUCCAGACUCC